rnacentral:misc_RNA from 1 species
GGAAUAUUGGACAAUGGGCGGAAGCCUGAUCCAGCAACGCCGCGUGAGGGAUGACGGCCUUCGGGUUGUAAACCUCUUUCACCAUUGACGAAGCCGCACAGUGUGUGUGGUGACGGUAGGUGGGGAAGAAGCACCGGCCAACUACGUGCCAGCAGCCGCGGUAAUACGUAGGGUGCGAGCGUUGUCCGGAAUUAUUGGGCGUAAAGGGCUCGUAGGCGGUUUGUCGCGUCGGGAGUGAAAACACUGGGCUUAACUCAGUGCUUGCUUUCGAUACGGGCAGACUAGAGGGAUGCAGGGGAGAACGGAAUUCCUGGUGUAGCGGUGAAAUGCGCAGAUAUCAGGAGGAACACCGGUGGCGAAGGCGGUUCUCUAGGCAUGUCCUGACGCUGAGGAGCGAAAGUGUGGGGAGCGAACAGGA